rnacentral:rRNA from 1 species
AGCGAACGCUGGCGGCAGGCCUAACACAUGCAAGUCGAACGAACCUUUCGGGGGUAGUGGAGGACGCGCGCGUAACACGUCUGAACGUGCCCCUAGGUUCGUAAUAACUCAUGGAAACUUGUUCUACUACCGAUUGUGCCCUUCGCGCGUAAGACUAAUCGGCGUUCGGACGGCCCGCGUCCGAUUCGCUCGUCGGUUGAGGUAAUGGCUCACCGAGGCGGAGAUCAGUACCGGGCCUGAGAGGACGAUCAGCCACAUUGGGACUCAGACACCGCCCACACCCCUACGGGAGGCAGCAGUGGGGAAUCUUGCGCAAUGCGCGAAAGGGUGACGCAGCCAUGCCGGGUGAAUGAUGAAGGGCUUAGGAGUGGACGAUCUUUUCCCCGGGGACGAUAAUGCCGGUACCCGGAGAAGAAGGCCCGCCUAACUUCGUG